rnacentral:rRNA from 1 species
GGGGAAUAUUGCACAAUGGGCGCAAGCCUGAUGCAGCCAUGCCGCGUGUGUGAAGAAGGCCUUCGGGUUGUAAAGCACUUUCAGCGAGGAGGAAGGGUUCAGUGUUAAUAGCACUGUGCAUUGACGUUACUCGCAGAAGAAGCACCGGCUAACUCCGUGCCAGCAGCCGCGGUAAUACGGAGGGUGCAAGCGUUAAUCGGAAUUACUGGGCGUAAAGCGCACGCAGGCGGUUUGUUAAGUCAGAUGUGAAAUCCCCGCGCUUAACGUGGGAACUGCAUUUGAAACUGGCAAGCUAGAGUCUUGUAGAGGGGGGUAGAAUUCCAGGUGUAGCGGUGAAAUGNGUAGAGAUCUGGAGGAAUACCGGUGGCGAAGGCGGCCCCCCUGGACAAAGACUGACGCUCAGGUGCGAAAGCGUGGGGAGCAAACAGGAUUAGAUACCCCUGGUAG